rnacentral:rRNA from 1 species
UACGGAGGGUGCGAGCGUUGUCCGGAAUCAUUGGGCGUAAAGGGCGCGUAGGUGGCCCGGUCAGUUCGUGGUGAAAGCGCGGGGCUCAACCCUGCGUCGGCCAUGAAUACUGCCGCGGCUGGAGCACUGUAGAGGCAGGCGGAAUUCCGGGUGUAGCGGUGGAAUGCGUAGAGAUCCGGAAGACACCGGUGGCGAAGGCGGCCUG